UGGCCUCCUCGCAGUGUUGCUGGGCCACGUCAGGAAGUGCUGGAGGACGUGGCAUUGCACCAACACCAGGCGGCCAGCCGUGUGGCUCAUCCCGCAAAUCAGGCUCUUCCUGUGCAUGGAGAUGGAGUCCCUCUGGAGGCAGCCCGUGGCCCUGUUCUCGGGCAGGUGGAGCAUGGAGACGACUGGGAACUUCACUAGACACGCAUCCAGCCGGUUCAAGGGCUUGUCGCGCCGUGCACCAGCUUGCAGGAGAAAGCCCAACGCCUCGCCAAGCACGAAGGCCUCCCUUCCCGACUUGAUGAAGGCAGAGUAGCGGUUGAGGUUGCGGCUCACAGUGACCGAGCUCCUGCCCACGUGGGGACCCAGGGAGCCGUCGAGCUCCAGGUAUGCACCUCUGCCCAGUGCACCUGGAUCGUUCACCGUCAUGGAGCUGCCAUCCCACUUGUCGUCCCAGUCAUCAUCACUGCCCUAGCUGGCCUAGUUGCCACCAAGGAGCUGCUGAGGCCACGGCUUCAGGGCAUCCCUACCGCCUGGAAAUCCUGCGCUGGCUGCUGGAAGGCACUCUGUGGUGGCACCAGCUGCGGCUGCAGUAGCAGCUGGAAAGCACUGAGAGAUGGCUUCAAGGAGGCAGGCAGUGCACCGGGCAGGGCCUUGAAACCUCUGGGUGGUACAAUGGCCAUGGCACAGUGGGUCAAGGCACAGGGGCAGCCAUGGCGCGCUGGGCCAGUCCAGGGUUGCAGACCACUUGCACUGCAGAUAUAAGGCCAGGGUUGCUGAGGCCAUGAGCCCCUGCGAGUCAGCCCUUGAUGUCCUGCUCACUACACAGGCUCAGCACUUCAUGUUCUCAUAGAU
rnacentral:lncRNA from 1 species